CAGGGUUCUUCUGCUGGAAGAUGCAGGACAAUGUACAUCUCCCAGAGGACUCAACAGUGUCCCGCUGCUGUGUGCUGGUCAGGAUGAUGCAGUCCCUCCUGAGUGCAGGGAAGAAAAGGACAACACAGGGAAACCUCACAUACCAGAGAUCUAAGGAAAUGCUACAGCUAACCAUGGAAAGCUUCUGCCCAUUUCCAUUGACUAGUGUUCUAGUGCCUCUCUACACAGCAUUAAGUCAGCGUUCAGCUUCACCAGCAGCCAGACCCUGCUGCAGCGACUGCAGAGGUAAUAAAUUACACACUAGCAGUGUUCUGAAUCUGGGAACAUAGACUGGCUCCAGCAGGCCAU
rnacentral:lncRNA from 1 species